rnacentral:tRNA from 1 species
UCCAGGAUGGCCGAGUGGGCUAAGGCGCCAACUCAAGGUUGAUAACCUUCUCUCGAAAUCAGCGAGAGUCUAUUGGGUGUUCUGGUCUCUGUAUAGAGGCGUGGGUUCGAACCCCACUCCUGACA